UACGUAGGGUGCAAGCGUUAGUCCGGAAUUAUUGGCGUAAAGAGCUCGUAGGCGGUUUGUCGCGUCGAAUGUGAAAACCCGGGGCUCAACUCCGGGCCUGCAUUCGAUACGGGCAGACUAGAGUUCGGUAGGGGAGACUGGAAUUCCUGGUGUAGCGGUGAAAUGCGCAGAUAUCAGGAGGAACACCGGUGGCGAAGGCGGGUCUCUGGGCCGAUGACUGACGCUGGAGGAGCGAAAGCGUGGGGAGCGAACAGGA
rnacentral:rRNA from 1 species